CUGGUUGAUCCUGCCAGUAGUCAUAUGCUUGUCUUAAAGAUUAAUCCAUGCAUGUGUAAGUAUAAGUAUUGUACAGCGAAACUGCGAAUGGCUCAUUACAUCAGUUAUAAUUUAUUUGAUAAUCGAAAGUUACAUGGAUAACCGUGACAAAUUACAGCUAAUACAUGCAGUCAGACCUGGUCCAAGGGUCGUAAUUAUUAGUAUUAAACCAUUUCCGAAAGGAGUGUGAUGAAUCAUAAUAAUCGAACGAAUCGCCUGGUGUGCGAUAAAUCAUUCAAGUUUCUGCCCUAUCAGCUUUGGAUGGUAGUGUAUUGGACUACCAUGGCAGUCACGGGUAACGGAGAAUUAGGGUUCGAUUCCGGAGAGGGAGCCUGAGAAACGGCUACCACAUCUACGGAAGGCAGCAGGAGCGAAAAUUGCCCAAUCCCGACACGGGGAGGCAGUGACGAGAAAUAACAACUCUUGGUUAUUCUAAGAAGUGUAAUGAGGAUAAUUUAAAACCCUUACCGAAAGCAAUUGGAGGGCAAGUCUGGUGCCAGCAGCCGCGGUAAUUCCAGCUCCAAUAGCGUAUAUUAAAGUUGUUGCAGUUAAAAAGCUCGUAGUUGAAGUUCUGGCUGCUUGACCCUCGAGCUCUGUAGCCGAGGGCUCAACAGUCAUCCGCUUGCAAACAUAUGUUCGUCUUUAACCGGACGGCUAUGUGAGUAAGCAAUUUACCUUGAGAAAAACAGAGUGUUCCAGGCAGGUUUGUCCGGAAUGCAUUAGCAUGGAAUAAUAGAAUAUGACUGAAGUCGAUUUAUUGGUUUGAGGCUUUAGUAAUGAUUAAUAGGAACAGUCGGGGGCAUUGGUACUUGACAGUCAGAGGUGAAAUUCUAGGAUUUGUCAAAGACUAACAAAUGCGAAAGCAUUUGCCAAGGAUGUUUUCAUUAAUCAAGAACGAAAGUUAGGGGAUCAAAGACGAUCAGAUACCGUCCUAGUCUUAACUAUAAACUAUACCGACUCGGAUUCAGAUGAAUCAUAAAGUUCAUUUGGGACCGUAGGAGAAAUCAAAGUUUUUGGGUUCUGGGGGAAGUAUGGUCGCAAGGCUGAAACUUAAAGGAAUUGACGGUUUUGCACCACCAUGGAGUGGAGUCUGCGGCUUAAUUUGACAACACUGGGAAACUCAUCAGGGCAAGAAGAUUGUAGGAUUGACAGAUUGAGAGUUCUUUCUUGAUUGGUCUAGUGGUGGUGCAUGGCCGUUCUUAGUUGGUGGAGUGAUUUGUCUGGUUAAUUCCGUUAACGAACGAGACCUUAACCUGCUAACUAGUACACCGAUGACAAAUCGGUGAUACUUCUUAGAGGGACUAUGUGAUGUAAUCACAUGGAAGUUUGAGGCAAUAACAGGUCUGUGAUGCCCUUAGAUGUCCUGAGCUGCACGCGUACUACAAUGGUGCUUUCAACGAGCUUUUCCUGAUCCGAAAGGAUUUGGGUAAUCUUUUUAGUGAGCACCGUGCUUGGGAUAGAUCUUUGUAAUUAUGGAUCUUGAACUAGGAAUUCCUAGUAAGCACGUGUCAUCAGCACGUGCUGAUUAC
rnacentral:rRNA from 1 species